UCCCUGUGUUGCCCAUGCUGGUCUUGAACUCCUGGGUUCAAGUGAUCCUCCCACCUCGGGCUUCCAAACUGCUGAGAUUAUAGGCAUGAGCCACUGUGCCCGGCCUGAGAAGAGAGGAAUGUACCCAAUUUGUACAGAUCUCUCUCUCUGCGGAAGCCAGCCACCGCUCUCCAAGGACUCUCGAGCAGCUCCAUCUACAGAUUCACAUGGAGAAGAAUUAAGGGUUCCUGCCAAUCACCAGCACCACUUUGCCAGCCUUGUAAGUGGGCCACCUUGGAAUUGGAGCCUCCAGUUCCUACUGACAUCUGACUGCAACAUCAUGAGAGACCCUGAGUUUGAACCACCCAGCUGAGCUGCUUCUGAGCUAACCCACUGAAACCGUGAAAGUACCUGAAUGAAACAACACCCAGUAGCCACUAGCACACCUAGCUCCCAGAUCUGUUUUUGAUGCCAUUCUUCAGUAAAAGGAAGCAAGGCUGCUUGGAGAAAUUGCUAUCAAGGACUGGGGUAGAAAAUAUACAAGAUGAAAUUGGAGCAUCUUGUAGUGCUUGAAAACAGUUGGCAUCUGUGUGAAGAUGUGAAUGGAGGAGGCAGAGUAGGCAGUGAGUGCCGCAGCCACAGCUUGUGUUCUCUGCAGCCCUGGCACAGAAGAUAGGAACACUCAUGGGGGAUGCGGCCACUGUGAUGUCUUCCCACACAAGAAGUGCCAAGUGCUUUUCUCAUGCUUUUCUGGAUUGUCCCAUGGUGGACGAGUCAGCAGGAGUGAGAUGGAGCAGCACAGUAGAGGGGCCAGGAUAUCGUUGUACAUAUUCUCAGCUAAGUGAGCACCAAUAGAGGAGAGGGAGAGUCUCAUGGAAGUUCCUUCUAAGCCUUUGGCUCUUUUUACCUUCAACAAGGUGUGCCACCUCUUUGAUCCAGCAAGUGGGAAGAACAGUCCCGGCCUCUUUGCACACAAGACCGUGAUACCAAUGCACCAUCACAGGCCCCACAGGGGAGCUGUCCGCUUCCCCACACAGCUGCUAGGGGCUCUUUUGCAUGUUCCCAACCUUUCCUGCCUUUAUCUGAUAUUCGUUCCUUAGAUCCUGGGAUGAGGAGGUGGACCAGCAGAAGGUGGGCUUGUGAAGGCAGCCCGGGGUCCAAAUCCUCCUGGCUCUUCAGCUUAGCGGGUUAGUUAACAUUCAGAAGCCUUCAUCUCCCAUCUGCAAAAUGGGCAUGUCCAACUCAGAAGCUGCCUUGAAGAAAGGGUCUACCCAGCAUGGUGCGUGGAGCCUAAGCAGUCAGUACUUCAGGACUUCACCCGGCCCCUUUCCAAUAACUGCUGCUGUCGCCCUCACAGGAUGUCACCUUCAGCGUCUGAAAGCUGGGUUUGAUGCGUCUGGAAAGGCGUCCCUGACAGGCGUCGUUGCCAGGAGCCCCUAGUGCCACCAGCAGCCAGCAGGGGAGGGCGUCCUCUGCCCGCUCACUUCUGACCCUUCUCUCGUUGCACCCGGAACAUGGUGCAGCUGGGAGCAGCCUGGGCUGCGCGGAAGGCUCAGAUUUGGGGACGGCCCUUGCCAGUGACUGUGAGCUGGGGUGUCUUGGAAACUCCCAGUCUCAGCUUCUCCAUUUAUAAGAUGAGAAUGAUCAUACCAGACUCAGGCAAGGUUGUUUGUGCAUUAGUGAAAUCAGACGUAUUAAAUAAAGUACCACAUUGAUCGUGGAGUUGUUGAAUAACCAAGAACACGCCUAUCU
rnacentral:lncRNA from 1 species